rnacentral:rRNA from 1 species
GGGUCAGUAGGUUGGUCGUGCCACCGGUACGUACUGGUCUCACUGAUUCCUCCUUCCUGAAGAACCGUAAUGCCAUUAAUUUGGUGUUGCGGGGAAACAGGACUGUUACCUUGAAAAAAUUAGAGUGUUUAAAGCAAGCUAACGCUUGAAUACAUUAGCAUUGAAUAAUGAAAUAGGACGAUCGAUCCUAUUUUGUUGGUUUCUAGGAUUGACGUA